UACGUAGGGGGCAAGCGUUGUCCGGAUUUAUUGGGCGUAAAGAGCUCGUAGGCGGCUCAGUAAGUCGGGUGUGAAAGCCCCGAGCUCAACUCGGGGAGGCCACCCGAUACUGCUGUGGCUAGAGUCCGGUAGGGGAGCGUGGAAUUCCCGGUGUAGCGGUGAAAUGCGCAGAUAUCGGGAGGAACACCAGCGGCGAAGGCGGCGCUCUGGGCCGGAACUGACGCUGAGGAGCGAAAGCGUGGGGAGCGAACAGG
rnacentral:rRNA from 2 species